rnacentral:rRNA from 1 species
UGUCUAGGCGGCCAUAUUAGUCUUUCGUUAAAUCUGCGGGCUUAACCUGCAGGCUGCGAGGGAAACGGUAUGGCUCGAGGGCGUAAGAGGUGCACGGAACUCAUGGUGGAGGGGUGAAAUCCGUUGAUAUCAUGGGGAACACCAAAGGCGAAGGCAGUGCACUGGUACGUUCCUGACGCUCAAACACGAAAGCCAGGGUAGCGAACGGGAUUAGAUACCCCGGUAGUCCUGGCCCUCAACGUUGCUCGCUCGCUUUACGGAGUAUCGACCCUCUGUGAGGCUAAGCUAACGCGGUAAGCGAGCCGCCUGGGUAGUACGAUCGCAAGAUUAAA